rnacentral:tRNA from 1 species
GAACCCGUGGCUCAAUGGUUAGAGCAUUGGACACCUAAUCUAGAGGUUGCGGGUUCG